rnacentral:lncRNA from 1 species
AGUUCAAUAUCUCCUCCACUAUACGGUGUGGCUCUAUGACUGGGAAAGCAAGCCUACUGAGGAAUGGUUCUCAACAACUUAAUUGGUAUUACAAUACACAGUAAGAUGCCUUUCACCGUCGAGAGUUAUUGGUAUUAAUUACUAGCAGAUUAAGCCUAACUUUAGCUCUGUUGAUUGAAGGUUCAUGAAUUAAAAAUGUCACCGACUACUGAUUUUCUGGAAACCAAGUUCGGGCAAUGCGUCCUUUGUUCAUUUGGCUCAAUAUAAACUGGCGACUUCAUCACAAACGAAUCCUUUAUCCAGCCUUCCCAAUACACUUUUUUGGAGAGCAUUUUGAGGAUAAAGGGUGGUUUUUCAUCAUUAGCCUUCCUCUGGCGUUUUGAGUUUUAUAGUAUUUGUGGGUCUCAAAAUUUUGGGUGAAAUAUGGUGUAAUCUAGCUCACCCAACAAUGACAAUCAAUGCAUUUUAGGUGUGGAAAAAUGUCUCUACUUAAUUGGAUUUUAGUUCGUUCACCGGUGGACCUGAGAGAAGGAUAAA